UCGCGCUCCCAAAUCCACAAGUUGUCCCUCGGCCGCCCGAUCCCAAAACUCAGAACCAAAGAAAUACAGAGGGUUGGGGCUGGAAGCUCUCACAGUACUUAGUUGGAGAGAGAGAGUGAGAGAGAGAGAGACAGAGAGGGAGAUGGAGCAGCAGCACGAUGAACAAGAGCACGAAGUGUAUGGAGGAGAGAUCCCCGACGAGGGCGAGAUGGACGCUGACGUUGAGAUGUCUUCUAGGGCUGAAGAAGACGAACUUCAAGAUCCUAACUCCAAGGACUUGGAGGACAUGAAGAAGAGGCUUAAGGAGAUCGAAGAAGAAGCUGGCGCCCUUCGUGAAAUGCAGGCCAAGGUUGAGAAGGAGAUGGGCGCUGUUCAAGAUUCAUCCAAUGCUUCUGCAACUCAGGCUGAAAAGGAGGAGGUGGAUGCUCGGUCCAUUUAUGUUGGUAAUGUUGACUAUGCAUGUACUCCUGAGGAAGUCCAGCAGCACUUUCAAUCUUGUGGAACAGUAAACAGAGUUACGAUUUUGACGGACAAGUUUGGGCAACCAAAAGGAUUUGCUUAUGUUGAGUUUGUUGAAGUUGAUGCUGUUCAGAAUGCUCUCCUGUUAAAUGAAUCAGAAUUGCAUGGUCGUCAAUUGAAGGUCUCUGCUAAGCGAACAAACGUUCCGGGAAUGAAACAAUAUAGAGGAAGGCGACCUAACCCAUAUUUAGGUUUUCAAUCCCGAAGGCCCUUCAUGCCUGUCUAUGCUCCAUAUGGUUAUGGGUAAGCAUUAGAGCUUUUACUCAAUUGGGAUGCUAGAAAGAAGAAAGGACUUUGGGCACCAAUGGCCAAACACUUUCUCUGAAAUUAAAUGGACGUAUUGUUCAUUAUAUUUCAGAUGAAUUAUAUGUUCCCACGCUAUAAUUUCUGAGGGUGUAAAAAGUUAAGCUUUGGGAUAGCUGAAUUUUCAAUCAACAUACUUCUGAAAAUAAUUUUUUCUUGAUGUUUUGCUGGGAUAACAUUUCUGGCUAAUAAGGAGAUGUGGUUUAUGCAGCAAGUACAUCAUUUUUUGAAGGAAAACCUUAGCACUUUGAUUGGUUUGAAUUAGAUGGAAACAAUUAUGCACACAGAAAUACAAUCAUGCAAAUCUCUUUUUGGCAAUUUGUUAUAUAUGUAUGUACCUUGGUUUUCAAUUUGUUUUGAUUUGGCUUCAGAUUCUAGAAUCUUUUCCACAAUUUAGUAUGUUGCUAGUAUAAUCUAACUCUGUUUUCUACUUCAACAGAUUUGCCUAUUCAUGAUAAAUUUGCCAGCCCCGACACGAUUUUCUUAUUGUGACCAUAUAUAUAUAUAUAUAUAUAUAUAUUUGUUUCCAUCAUUCUUUAUGUUUGCAUCAUUGGGAAGGUAGCCUGCUAAAGGCUACCUUACCCGAUCCUUAUUCUACUUUUGGUCCUUUUUUCACUUGCACAAUACCUUUUCAUAUUACUCACUGUGAAUUUUCGUUUGUCCUUGUAUGCAGAAGGGUUCCAAGGUUCAGACGACCCAUGCGGUACAGGCCAUACUAAUGGUUACAUGGUUGAUGUAAUUUUUUACCCCCA